rnacentral:tRNA from 1 species
AGAAAUUUAGGUUAAUAGCAGACCAAAAGCCUUCAAAGCUUUAAGUAGAAGUGAAAAUCCUCUAAUUUCUG